CACAGAGGUCCCGAGCGUUGUUCGGAUUCAUUGGGCGUAAAGGGUGCGUAGGCGGUUUUCUAAGUUUGAUGUGAAAUCCCGGGGCUUAACCCUGGAAUGGCAUUGAAUACUGGGAGACUAGAGUACUGGAGAGGAAACUGGAGUUUACGGUGUAGCAGUGAAAUGCGUAGAGAUCGUAAGGAAGACCAGUGGCGAAGGCGAGUUUCUGGGCAGUUACUGACGCUGAGGCACGAAGGCCAGGGGAGCAAACGAG
rnacentral:rRNA from 1 species